GAUGAACGCUGGCGGCGUGCCUAAUACAUGCAAGUCGAACGGAAAGGUCUCUUCGGAGAUACUCGAGUGGCGGACGGCUGAGUAACGCGUAGGAAUGUACCCCAAACUGAGGAAUAACCUCGAGAAAUCGUGGCUAAUACCGCAUGUGCUCUAAGGAGUAAAGCUUCGGCGGUUUGGGAACAGCCUGCGUAAGAUUAGCUAGUUGGUGAGGUAAUAGCUCACCAAGGCGACGAUCUUUAGCUGGUCUGAGAGGAUGAUCAGCCAGACUGGGACUGAGACACGGCCCAGACUCCUACGGGAGGCAGCAGUAGGGAAUUUUCCACAAUGGGCGAAAGCCUGAUGGAGCAACGCCGCGUGCAGGAUGAAGGCCCUCGGGUUGUAAACUGCUUUUGUACAGAACGAAAAGGUUUCUACUAAUACUAGGAGCUCAUGACGGUACUGUAAGAAUAAGCACCGGC
rnacentral:rRNA from 1 species